UACGUAGGGUGCAAGCGUUGUCCGGAAUUAUUGGGCGUAAAGAGCUCGUAGGCGGUUUGUCGCGUCUGCUGUGAAAACUCAGGGCUUAACUCUGAGCUUGCAGUGGGUACGGGCAGACUAGAGUGCGGUAGGGGAGACUGGAAUUCCUGGUGUAGCGGUGAAAUGCGCAGAUAUCAGGAGGAACACCGGUGGCGAAGGCGGGUCUCUGGGCCGUAACUGACGCUGAGACGCGAAAGCGUGGGGAGCAAACAGG
rnacentral:rRNA from 1 species